UACGUAGGGUGCGAGCGUUAAUCGGAAUUACUGGGCGUAAAGCGUGCGCAGGCGGUUUUGUAAGCCAGAUGUGAAAUCCCCGGGCUUAACCUGGGAAUGGCAUUUGGGACUGCAAGGCUUGAGUGCGGCAGAGGAGACUGGAAUUCCUGGUGUAGCAGUGAAAUACGUAGAUAUCAGGAGGAAUACCGAUGGCGAAGGCAGGUCUCUGGGCUGACACUGACGCUCAUGCACGAAAGCGUGGGGAGCAAACAGG
rnacentral:rRNA from 1 species